rnacentral:rRNA from 1 species
AGCGCAGGCGGGAAACUAAGCGGAUCUUAAAAGUGCGGGGCUCAACCCCGUGAUGGGGUCCGAACUGGUUUUCUUGAGUGCAGGAGAGGAAAGCGGAAUUCCCAGUGUAGCGGUGAAAUGCGUAGAUAUUGGGAAGAACACCAGUGGCGAAGGCGGCUUUCUGGACUGUAACUGACGCUGAGGCUCGAAAGCUAGGGUAGCGAAG